rnacentral:rRNA from 1 species
UGGGGAAUAUUGCACAAUGGGCGCAAGCCUGAUGCAGCCAUGCCGCGUGUAUGAAGAAGGCCUUCGGGUUGUAAAGUACUUUCAGUCGGGAGGAAGGUGGAAGGUUAAUAACCUUGGCAAUUGACGUUACCGACAGAAGAAGCACCGGCUAACUCCGUGCCAGCAGCCGCGGUAAUACGGAGGGUGCAAGCGUUAAUCGGAAUUACUGGGCGUAAAGCGCACGCAGGCGGUUGAUUGAGUCAGAUGUGAAAUCCCCGGGCUUAACCCGGGAAUUGCAUCUGAUACUGGUCAGCUAGAGUCUUGUAGAGGGGGGUAGAAUUCCAUGUGUAGCGGUGAAAUGCGUAGAGAUCUGGAGGAAUACCGGUGGCGAAGGCGGCCCCCUGGACAAAGACUGACGCUCAGGUGCGAAAGCGUGGGGAGCAAACAGG